GGUCUGCUUACGAUCUUGGUUUUUUUCGAAAAGUGCUGUACAGCCAGAUUCCUUACAGUGCACAGGAAGAUGCGCUGCCUUGCUCAGGGCUUUUAAAGAUUAUGAGUUCUCUCUUUGCCUGUCCUUUAGAUAGCGCCCGGUCUGCCCGAUAUAAGAUUUCCCACAUUUGAAUGGUAUCUUAUAUACCACUUCAGUGGCCAGUCGACGUGGCACUUAACAUGUUUGUUUUCACAGGUCGUGUUCUUUUUCUUUUGGCCGUUUGCGAGGGCGCACAGCCGAGAAAGCUUGUGAGGGCUUGUGAAUAUUAGGUCGACGACGUGUUUAUAGAUACGUGGACGGUUCUCUUGUCAUUUUGUCUGUUCCGCAUAAUGCCAAUAGCACUGCAGUAGGUGAGCGAGUGUUGCAUGAUUUUAAACAAUGUUCGCUGUCGUUAUCAUUGGCGCUAGAACUUCCACACAAUGGUACACUCUGUUUUUUUUUUUUUUUAUUGAGCGCUGUAUUAUAAUUGUGACGAACACUGUUGUUGGGAAUAUAUGCCGCGUUCUAAGAAGGCCGUUCUACCCUUUGACUCCUCUCACACCAAACUGUAUAGCUUCGUCCUACCUCAAGUCAUUCCUGACGAAGUCAUGGAUACACAGGGUUGGCCAUAGUUUUGACCUUCAAAUGUCUAGUCUGAGAGUCUCGGGAUACCCUACGAGUGUGCUAGUUGCAGUGGGAUCUAGGUUUAAAAAAAAAAAAAGCUUCAGGCGUUACCCAAUGCAACGCCAUGCCAGAGGCCAAAUAAGUAUGUCGUGAUGCUAUCAUCAUCAUCAACAUCAUCAUCAUCAUCAUCAUAAUCAUCAUCAUCGUCAUCAUCAUCAUCAUCAUCAAUGUCUACUGCAGGACGAAGGCCUCUCCCUGCGAUCUCCAAUUAGCCAUAUGUCUACAAAAUUUCGCACAGCCUAAAUAGGAUUGGGCAAAAAUACGGCGUCGACCUAGUAUUCACAGCCCCCCACAAGCUUUCUCGGCUGCGCCCCCUCGCAAAUGGCCGAAAGAAGAACAAGGCCUGUGAAAAGAAACACCUUAAGCCCCUCGUCCCCUUUGCCGCUGAAGUUAUACAUAACAUACCACUCAAUGUAAGAAAGUUUAUAUCUGGCAUACUGGGCGCUUUCUAACUGACGGGCUAAGAGAGCAUUCCUUAUCUUUAAUGGCCCUGAUCAACGUAGCGCACCUUCCUGCCUACUGUAGCGAAUAUGUCUGUACAGCACUUAAAGAAAAGCUACAUCGUAAGCAGAUCCAAAGGCAGACUUGAAAGACAAAUCCUCGAGGCUGGUCAGGUAAAACGCUCGCGCUGACCUGUGUAGUAGUGCACCGCCACUGCAUCUGGUGGAGAAGAAAUUAACGUUCCUCCCUCAUGACUGAAGCUUCUGCGCGUCCCUUUUUCCUCCUCCUCUGAUGCGUUUUUUCAAGCGAAGCUUGUAUUGGCUUACAAGUUUCGGUGGCAUUGUGGUCAGGCCGGUCACGCAACGAAAAAAAAAAAAAAACCAGUUGCUCGCGCAACUGAGCAGCUGCAUGAAAGCGCGGUUUGAUAAGUUGACAGCUGCGCCGGCGCCGGAGCGUGCCAUUAGCAAGAAUUUCAGCUGCACAGUCGUGCGCUCACGCCACGCGCGCAAUGAAUCAGGCCCGUUUCGCUUCCGCCGGUGAGGGAAAGGACAAGAAAGGGUGUCGCACGUGCUGCCGCCGACUUCGUUCAGUUCAUUCUCGCAAAACGGAUGGGACGUUCAUGCGUUGCGCUUUCCCCCGAGGAAAUGGCCGCCUUCAACGAGCCGCGGUGAGAACUCGCCCGUGAAAGGGCUCGGCGUCGGCGCGCCGAUCCAGCCUUUAGAGCCGCCCGAGCCCAGGCAAUCCAACAGCAACGAGAUGUUUCCGAGCUGAGGGAGCGGGAGGCUGAAGCAAUUCGGCACCUUUAGCUGUGGAUUAACCGUGACGAAGGUCAGGUGCACGCUGGACAAGCUUCGCUUACCCCCGUUUUCCGGUAGGGGAAGGAUCCUGCAGCUGGCCAUGCACACUUAGCCGCCUAGGAGCAAGCCCCCGCUAUUUCUGCAAUGAUCACUGCAUGCCGGGGACGUCAUCACAACUGGCUGCUGGAAACUUCUAAGCGGAUCGACCUUAUCAGCCGAAACCGAGCAUAUAAAACCAUUCCAAAUCGUCCCAGUCUUCAAUGGGAGUGCCUAACCAGACAUGGCUCGUCUUACAGCUGUCCAGGUGCUCCUCCGUUCUCCAAGCAGGUGGCAAAAAAAAUCUUUACGAUGUGUCGCUGAGGAAGUCAGUGGCUCCAGGAGCGGUGUAGGUGCCUGCGGGUUGGCGACAGCCUACGCUCCGAUGGUGCCCUUCUGGCCAUGGCGGCGCCGGGAGCCUCAGCAGCGUGUUGGAGGCAUCAACCGUGCCGGAGCCGAUGACGUCAACGGGAGAGGUUCGAGGCCUGACGUUCGAGCUACGCUGCUCCAGCAUAGGUCAGCAGCUGCUCGGUGGUCCAUGCACGAAGUUGUUCCUCAUCGAGGAAAUGUCGCUCGAAGUCCGUGGUAGGGAGAUCCUCGCCAUCAUAACCAAUUCCGGAGCGCACGCUGCUCUGGAACUGUAAAAAAAUAAAAAGAAAAUUUCAGAGGGCUGGCAACACCCUCAGUCAGAAAUAAAUGCUUGUUGCGUGUUUGACUUAGUUUUCAGGAUUUCGUAUACUGUUCCAUACACAGUGGGGGCUAGGACAGCGGGAAGACAAAAUUUGCGGGCCCCGAUUCCUAGCACCGCUUACGUAGCCCAGACCGGAGCAUCUAAACUAACUGUAGUCCACAUUAUUUAUUUAUUUAUUUAUUUAUUUAUUUAUUUAUUUGUUCACAGUACAUUACAGGCUCCUCAUCGAUCAUAGUGUAAGGGGGGUUUUACAUGAAUAAUUUCGCAGCAUAUACAUCAAUCUACGUUGCUAAGUGGCUAUUGCGUCGGGCUGCUAA